rnacentral:rRNA from 1 species
AUUGAACGCUGGCGGCAUGCUUUACACAUGCAAGUCGAACGGUAACAGGCCGCAAGGUGCUGACGAGUGGCGAACGGGUGAGUAAUGCAUCGGAACGUGCCCAGUCGUGGGGGAUGACGCAGCGAAAGCUGUGCUAAUACCGCAUACGAUCUAUGGAUGAAAGCGGGGGACCGUAAGGCCUCGCGCGAUUGGAGCGGCCGAUGUCAGAGUAGGUAGUUGGUGGGGUAAAGGCCUACCAAGGCGACGAUCUGUAGCUGGUCUGAGAGGACGACCAGCCACACUGGGACUGGGACACGGCCCAGACUCCUACGGGAGGCAGCAGUGGGGAAUUUUGGACAAUGGGCGCAAGCCUGAUCCAGCAAUGCCGCGUGCAGGAAGAAGGCCUUCGGGUUGUAAACUGCUUUUGUACGGAACGAAACGGUCUGGGUUAAUACCCUGGGCUAAUGACGGUACCGUAAGAAUAAGCACCGGCUAACUACGUGCCAGCCGCCGCUGUAACAC